rnacentral:lncRNA from 1 species
GCUAAAAUUGACCUCUCAUAUAUUUUUAUUUAGACUUGGCUAAGGUACUUUUUACUAUCACCCCUCAUCUUAUUUUUGCCUACACUUUGAUCAUGAUUUUCAAUCAAAAUCUAAAAAUCCUGAGAGAAUUCUAAGAUAUUGUCACUCAAUCUAAUUCCAUCUCUUAGUUAUCACACCCUCUCAUCUUAAGACCAUACCAAUCAUAACACUUAGAACCUUCUCUCCUCUCCCCACAUAACCUCCUCUAGAACUCUCACGAUUCUCUAUUAACUUAUUAAAUUACAUCCACCCACGCCCCCAAUCUUCCUCAUCAAUACUUUGUUACAUGGUAUCCUCUCCUUAAUCUCCUAGAAAAAUAUUCCUAACUAUCACUUAAUUACACUCAUAACUACCUAGAUUCCUUCUCCCCCAUCUC